GAUGAAGAACGUAGCGAAAUGCGAUAAGUAGUGUGAAUUGCAGAAUUCAGUGAAUCAUCGAAUCUUUGAACGCACAUUGCGCCCCUUGGUAUUCCAUGGGGCAUGCCUGUUCGAGCGUCAUUUGUACCUUCAAGCUCUGCUUGGUGUUGGGUGUUUGUCUCGCCUCUGCGUGUAGACUCGCCUCAAAACAAUUGGCAGCCGGCGUAUUGAUUUCGGAGCGCAGUACAUCUCGCGCUUUGCACUCAUAACGACGACGUCCAAAAGUACAUUUUUACACUCUUGACCUCGGAUCAGGUAGGGAUACCCGCUGAACUUAAGCAAAUCAAUAAGCGGAGGA
rnacentral:misc_RNA from 1 species